rnacentral:lncRNA from 1 species
AGCAAAUACUGUUUCCCAGUCUGUGACUUGCCUUAUCAUUUUUGUAAUAGUUAUCUUUGAGAAUUGUUUUUAAAAUUUUGAUGAAGUUUAAUGUGUUGAUUGUUUUUUAUGCUUUGUUUUAGAUUUUUUUUUCCUUUUUUUUAUUUUAGAUGAAGUUUCACUCUUGUUGCCCAGGCUGGAGUACAAUGGCACAAUCUUGGCUCACUGCAACCUUCGCCUCCCAGGUUCAAGCAGUUCUCCUGCGUCAGCCUCCCAAAUAGCUGUGAUUACAAUCAUGUGCCACGACACUCGAAUCUCAUGGUCUUUUCUUAACAUUUCUUGGUGAUGAGGAUGGGAUUUGAAGUGGCACCCUAGCUUCUUCCCAACACUCUCUGGACCAAUGCAUUUGCACCUGCAAGAACCUCUUGAGCUCACUUAUCUUCCUGGCUGCACCGGGGAGAAAAGAGAGCUAUCCACGCUAAGUCCAGAUAUAAAAAAUUCUUUCUUCACCCUGUUAAAGGGCUGCACCCUGAAAUCAGUAAUAUAA